rnacentral:lncRNA from 12 species
AUGAGCUUUUCAGAGCCGGAGGUACAGUGCCGUGCAGGAGGAGGAGGUAAGAAGAGGACAGGAGGUUGUGUAAUUCUUAUAGGAAGAAAGCCAAAAAGAGAAGGAAAAAUGCAAGCAGCAAACCCACACAGGCGACUUUACAGAAAAGAGAUGAAUGUUUCACUGUGUCCUGAAAUGGUCAUGGAGCACAGGGCUGGAAGAGCUGUUGCCUUUUGCAGUUUUGCUGGAGGCAAAACCUCGACUUCAUAAAUGAUCAGCCGGUCUGCUCAGCUCAGCUCAGCUCAGCUGUGUUCAAGAAACAUGUACGGAGAAGCUGUUGCAGCUGCUUGCUCGCAUAGAGAUGGUCCACACUCUGCAGGAGCUGGGAGUCUGCAGGCGGGCGCCACAGACCCACAAAGAGAUCCCCUUGGAACCAAAUGCAAAAGAAAAUAGAGGAGAUUAAAGAAAGCUGAGGGGGAGGCUCUGGAACAAGGAAGGCUCCUUGAAGGAGGCAAUGGCUGUAUCUCCAGAGAGGAGUAUGGAAUUGCAAGGUAAAGUGAGGAAGAGCAAAGCAAAAUAGCACAAGCAAAGGCACACACUCAUGGAACCCUGCACAUGUUGAUCAGCAUGCAUGGUGACUGGUGCACAUGAGUAUUCUUUUUUUUUUUUAAUUUUUUAAAAUUAUUUUAUUUUAUUUUAUUUUUGCACAUGAGUAUUCUAAUUCAAGGGUUAGAAUACUCUUCAAGGGUUAGGAGAGCACACCUUUCUAGCUUCUUCCACUAGAAUCUCACGGGGACAGAAAUAUAACACAAUUUUGUUUCGCCCUGAUAAGCUUAGAGUUGCCAAAUAUAUACUCAACUCGAUAUGAAUCAGAAAAAUCAAAGCACUUUAAGGAAAGGAUUAAUUAUUAAGAGCAUAUCUUUUAAAGCUUAGCACUUAGGAACUAGCUACAAAUUGGUUCUGAAUAGAGCAAGGAAGAGAUUCUGGACAGAUUCAUUAGGCCCUAGUUCCAUAGCAUCUCACAAAGCAUUAGCUGCCCAGGUAACAAAAGAGAAGUUCACGUAACCCCUGCUAACUAUUAAAAUUUUUCCAUUACCUUCCCCCUGAGAUCACCCAAAGAUUAGCCAAACAUUAGGGAACACGUCCUGCUGCUGCAAAGUUUUAUGUACUCUGUCUUCCUGCUGGUAAAAUGAUGCUUAGUUUGUAAAAGUAGCAAGGGGCAGAAAUUCAGAAAAAGAAUCUGUUGUUAUUAUAAAUAUACUCCCCUCCA